rnacentral:lncRNA from 1 species
CAACUUUCUUUACACGUUUAACCACAUGAUACCGGGCUGGUCUACCCUACCCUUCACGUCACCCCUGCCCCCACUAACUUUCUUUACACGUUUAUGCCAAUUCUAUAUAUACAAAGGAGCAAAGGAAAAGAAUGGAAACGCGGGGCCCACAUAAUUAUCCCAUUAGUUUUCCUUCUUGGAUAAUCAAUACAUAUACCUACGCACAUGGAAAAAGAACCUGGACAGAAGAACAAAAAACAAGGGGGCCCAUUAGGAACUUUCAAGGAAAUACUCCAUCUACACAGUACACAGAUAUCAUAUAUAUACACCAUUGUUUCUUUUCCUUCGGGGGAGACCUGGAGACACCAUCCUCUUCACUCAAAAUAUCGGCACACACAUACGCCCAAUCGCUCGCACACACACACGCAAUCCUCUCCCUUCAUAGCUCACUCAAAAUCGCACACUAAUCCGCACAUACCCAAAAAAAAUAAAGCCGAUUGAGAGAGAGGGUGACGAAUAGAGAGAGAUAUAGUUAUUUUGGUUUCGGGUUUGUUGCUGGAUUUCGACAUUUUCCGUUAGCUUAUUCCCUUCACAGCUCACCGGAGCUUAGAUUCGGACUGGUUUUGAGCUCUCAGUUAGACUUCGGAGACGUUAGUUAUCAUUUGCUCGUCAUUCGUCUUCCGAUAUCGUGCCUUUGAAGGUUUUUGAUACCGGGCUGGUCUAUUUUUCUGUUGCUAUUUUGCUAUGGUUUCAUCGGUCUUCGCUACUGAUUUGAAGAUUAGAAUCUCGUUCGUCUCAAAUCGUUAAUCGUGAUCAGUUUUUUGGUCUUCAAUCUUUGAUACCGAAUCUGGGAUUAUCGCAUUUUGGAUUAUUUCUCGACUGAUUUGGAGAGUCGAGAUUUCGUUGGUAUUCUUCGAGGUUCUUGGACGGCUCUUAUUUCUCUUAUUAAAUCAAUCGACAUCGCCUGAGGUCCAAUUCUAACUUUUCUCUUUUUGAUUUUCUCGUGAUUACAAAUGAUUUGUAUGCUUAAAUGUUUGAGUCCUUGUUUGGGUAUGUGUUCAAUAUUGAUUUCGGAUUUGAAGAAGUAACUUGAUUGUCAAAUUAGUUGUUUGGGGUCUAGAUUGAAAAUUAAUAAUCGAAUAAGUCGAAGGUUGUUUAUUUUGAUUCAUUAUUGAAUAUUGUUGAAUUGGAUAGCAUCAUGAUUAGGCCAUCUAAUGAAUAGGUUAAAGUAGGUUCGGGUAGGCAAAUAUUUAGGAAUAAGUGUUUGCUCGUUGAAUUAUUGAAUGCUUGAAAUGCGUGUUGAAUGGUUUGGUUUUAUUGCUUUUGGAUUGAAUGUAUCAUUUAGCCGGGGAAUGCCCCGAGACACAUUGUAUUUAUUCACUGGGGAAUGCCUCGACGUACUAUGUUGGCGGAAGACGUUCGUGAUGAAGGCCCGAGGCAUCGGGUAGCUUGGGAGCGUAGUUAGGAUUAGUAUAGGUUAGAUAAGAUUUAUUUUUCGCAUUUUAUUUAUUUUGGGUAUGUAUAAUCGGACUGAACACUAUACUUUGAUUCAUUUUGUUUGGUUUGUUUGUUUGCUUUACGUGCUUCCUUGUGAUUUGUACAUUCGUAGUGUCAAAAUUAGCCGAUACGAUCCACCAAGCGUCCGUGGUCGAACCACGGGAUCGAGGGGUGUCUAACACCUUCCCCUUGGUCAACAAAAAUUCCUUAGUCAGAAUCUCUGUUCGCGGAUCAGUUCUAUAGAGUCCAAAUCAUUUUGAAAAGGGAUAUCCAUGGGUAACUUGGCACACCCGAUUUAUGCCAAGUGGCGAAUCUGAGUUUUGAAUAUAAAAGAUCCUUUUCAAAAAAAAAAUUUCAUCUUUUGUCACUUUGAUAAUAAAACCCUUUUGAACCUAAAAUGAAUCUUUUCCGGAGUUGAAAAAAAAGGGGUGUGACAGCUCUGGCGACUCUGCUGGGGAAUCAUUUUUCAAAAUUCGAGCUUAUUUUUUGGAGUUGUAUUGGCUUAGUUUGGCAUUAGGGGUGUAUAGACAUUGUUUGUGUUAUCGUUUGUGUUUAUUUUAUCAUUGUUGAGUGCCUACGUGCUCUUUGUUACAGUUUUUCCUUAUGUGUUACUGCUUUUAUAUCUGGCAUCAUUUGCAUAAUCCGAAUCAAUUCUUUCUGCAAUAAGUCUUGGAGUGCCGUCGUGUACACGAACUCUAGUUGACUCACCUUUAUUUUAGGAGGGGGAGCCGUCGGACGUAUGGAGUGGGUAGAAAGUUGUCGCAGCCACUAUCGACCAUACGCUUUCCGAACAGCCUUGUUAGUAAAUCCAGCGUAGGUCAUCCUUUAGGUCAUGCUUAUGUGCAUUAUAUUGAGACCUAGCGAGGCCCACUUGGUCCUUUGUAGGAGACUCACCUCUAAAGCAUCCCUACAUGCUAAAUGUUGCAUCUUUGAGGGUGAUGUGGUCAUUUGACGGACUAAUUCGGGAAAAACAUGUGUUAGAAGUAAGGUGUGUUUGAAAAAAGAAAAGAAAAGAAAUGAGUCAAAAGGGGUUUCUUUUAGUAUUCUUUAUGGCUUUAGUUUUUCACAAUUCAAAAAUUCAAAAAGAUUUUUUUACCUUUCGCACUCAUUUUCUCAAAAAACAAAAUUUCAAAAAGAUUUUCCCUUUAUCUCCCUUAGCACGCAUUCAUAAUUCACAAAUUCCAAAAAAAGAUUUUCUUUAGAAGUGUCAAAAAUGGUAGUAGUUGUGACCAUUUCAUAAAAAAAAAAAUGCCAAAAAGAUUUUUCUUUCAUAGUUGUUAGUGUCAGUCUUACGUGAAUUGUCUAAAUGAAAACUCGAAAAGAUUUUAUUUACAUUGUUCAUCGUCUGUCUUUGGUCGUGUCUCUUAAGUCAGGUUCAGUUUAUUAUUUAAUCCUCAAUUGUCCAAUCUGGAUGAACAGCACCCCUGAUUUUCCUCUUUCGGGAGUGAGAUACGUAGGCAGCCUAUUAUAGGUUCAGAGACCUUAUUUAAAAAAAGAAAUCCAAAAAAAAAAAAAUUUCUUCACUCUUUAGUUAGAAUAGGUGUUUCAUACAUGUCUUAAAAAGAAAAAUACAAAAAAAAAAUCUCAUUGAUAGCCGUAGGUUUUAUUUUUGGUUGAUCUUACUUUAAAAAAUUCAAAAAGAUUUUUCUUCACUCUUCAUUUAGAGUAGGUGUCACAUAUAUCUUAAAAGAAAACCACAAAAAGAUUUUCUUUUAAUAGGUUCGAGUUUUAUUUUUGCAUAAAAUUCAAAUCUGAAAACCCAAAAAGAUUUUUUUGGUAAUCAUAGAAUUUCACUUCGUAGAGGGGUGUUUAAACCUGAAAAAUAUAAAAAGAUUUUCGUCAAUUCUUGUGACAAAUUGUUAUUUUCUUUUCUUCCUAAAGUUUCAAGAAAAAGAAAAAGAGAAAGAGUUUAAUUUGGCCAUUUUUGGCAAAACUUCAUGAACUACGCACAUCUGAUUCUCCUCUUUCGGGGGUGAGAUACGUAGGCACCCUUUUCGGGUUAGGUGACCUUUUCAAAAUGAAAAAAAAAAAGAAGUUUUCGAAAAAGUGUUGAAUUCUAACACAUUGGUUAUCUCUUGUUCAGUUAGCUUAAGGUGGUUGGUUUGUGGUACUUUGGCUGGCCCUCCAUAUUGCACCAAGUCCAAGAGAAAGUUAUGGCUAACAAAGAUACCGAGUUAGUUGUCACUAAUCAGAUAGGGAGUUCGGGAAAUGAGAAUUUAGGAGCUAAUGAAGAGAUUCAAAAAUUAAGACCGCAAAUAAUAGAAAUGCAUCGAGCUUGGGCUAAUGGGUUGCCGCCUCCUCCAGUUCCCACUGAUAAUCUGGAAUGUCUUUCUAGCUUGCUUCCUGUGUCACAUACACAAUUUCCUAUUUUUGUUGAUAUGCCAUAACAUGCAUCAGGAUCGACUCCAGGGAAACAAUAUCUAACCACUUUCGAUGUUCAUUUCCUCACUCCCCAAUCCAAGACUACCACAUACUCGGCUUCACCUAAUGUUCAUAAUUUUGCGGCGCCGCCACCACCUGAAGCUCCUACUUUUGAUGUUCCUCCACAAGUUGUGCCUUACUACUCCACAAGAGAGCCUGCAUUGAAUAUUACUGGUGAUCAGCGUUACACUCCUGAGUCUACAUUCAAGUUAACUGGUCUUUAUGGUGACACUCACCCACCUGAAUUCCCUUCUAACACUGAGAAGCCUUUUAUGAUAGAAGAACAAGAGGAAAUAAUCAGAAAAUUGAGAAGUUUGGAACUGGCUAUGAAGAAUUCGCAAGGACUUGGGGAUUACAAAAGUGUCUCAUAUAAGGACUUAUGCAUGUUUCCAGGUGUCAAGCUUCCUCCUGGCUUUAAAAUGCCAAAGUUAGAGAAAUAUGACGGACAUGGGGAUCCGGUGUCACAUUUAAGGCGCUAUUGUAACCAAUUAAGGGGCGUUGGAGGGAAGGAAAAACUACUCAUGGCUUAUUUUGGGGAGAGUCUUUCAGGCCUAGCUUCGGAAUGGUUUGUUGACCAAGACAUUAACAAGUGGAUUAGUUGGGAUGACCUAGCUAAUGAAUUUGUGCAACAAUUUCAAUACAAUGUGGAGUUGAUCCCUGACAAAAAAUCCCUAAUUAGUAUAAAAAAAAAGAAUACUGAGAGUUUCAGGGAGUAUGCGAUCAGAUGGCGUGAACAAGCUGCUAGGGUGAAACCGCCAAUGAAUGAAAGUAAGAUAGUGAAGGUAUUUAUUCAAGCGCAGGAUGAAACAUAUUAUCAACACUUGUUACCUGCAUUAGGCAAGUCGUUCAUUAAAGUCCUUAAAAUAGGGGAGAUGAUAGAAGAGGGAAUUAAGACUGGUCGCAUUAUGAGUUUUGCAAUAUUGAAAGCGACUACUCAAGCAAUUCAAAAGAGUUCAGGAAGUGUUGGGGAGAAAAAGAAUGAGGAAGAUUAAUCUGCUAUUGUAGUUGGAUAGCAGGAUAGGUCAAGAAGACCCCGUCGUCGUCACUCUCAGGAUCAAACCCAAGUUCAUGCCCAUGCUCCACAUAAUCACUCCCAAAAUUCAUUAUACUCUGCUCCUCCACCCCCGUAUCAAGUUUAUAACGCACAACCAUAUGUUCACCCCCCAUGUUACCCAUAAUGGAACACACCAACUCCUCAGAGUCGUCCUCUAACUCCAUAAAUAUACCAAAGCCCUUCUAAGACUAAUUUUCGAUCCAAGCCAAACGAUGAAAUGAGGCAGAAGUCAAGAAAUAGCUUCACACCAAUUGGAGUCGUAUGCCAGUUUAUUUUAGAGAUUGGUACAAUGGGGCAUGAUCACUCCUCUCCUUGGGUGCACUCUUAAUCGGAGUUCCAAAAAUUUUGAUCUGAAUGUACGAUGUGCGUAUCAUUCUGAUGCUCAGGGUCAUAGUAUUGAAGAUUGUCGACAUCUGAAAAGAGAUAUUAAAAAGAUGAUUCAAGAUGGAUUAAUUAUGGUGCAGAACAUUGACAGUGAGAGAAACUCUAGUCAUGCUGAUAUGCAAACUAGUGGCUAAGAUGUCAGGCUGAGCAAUUGAGAAGUCACCCUUCUCCUUACUAGGGAGAGGUUUGAUAGUUUGUUUUGUUUUAUUUUUUGUUAUCCGAAUUAUUUCAGGGUUGUAGUUCGGGAUCUAUCUUGUUUUGUCCUUUUGUCGUUUAUGUUGAAACCCUUCUAUCUUUUGUUUCAACUAAAUGAAGUGUCCUAUUUUCCUUUGUGUUUUAAAUAUGUUUUAUUUGUUUGUUUUCUUUACAUAGUACAUUUUAUGUUGACUUUAAUGAUAUGACAUGCUAGAAAAAUAUUUCAGUCAGAUCUUAAAAUCCGGUUUAAGCAUGAGUAUUGAAUCAAGGGGUUAAAGUUAGAAAAAAAAGAGUGUCUGAGAAAAUAGUAGAGUGCUGAAACAUUUGGUGACAAGUUCAAGACUUCUUUGAAAAUUAAGGCCAUUUAUUUUGAGAAUCAAAAGAAUAACUUGGUCAUCAAUUGAAAGACAUGUCUCAAUUAGGUCAAACAGUGUCUGGGUGAUCCUAUCAAGAAGAGCAGAAAGAAAAUCAACUCCACGAAAGCAUGAGUCAUUCAAAGUGAGGGAUGCACAACAAAUGUGGAGUUGUACGUUUGAAAAGUAUAGAAAAAGAGGUGACACACAUGCUCGGGGAAAAUUAGUGUUGUAAAACAUGUCAUAAGUGAUGUUGAUCGUGCACUUUCACAUUGCAUGCUAUGUACUAGUAUUUUCAAAGAUUGAUAUCACGAAAGCAUUUUAUUCUGCUAUCCAAACAUUGUGUCAUCCUUUGUUACCCUAUUUGAGCCUUAGUGUUAUUUUCUUUCAUACCCCUCUUUGGGUAUCAAGAUAAAGCUAGCAAAGCUUAAAAGAAAAGUAUCGAGCAAGAGAAUAGAGUCAGAAAGUUUCAAAAAAGAAGAAGAGAAAAAUGUGUCCACAAAGGAAGAAAAGAGUGUCAAGAAAUUGGAGUCAGAAAAAUCACAAAGAAAAAAGAGUACAAAAAAAAAGAACAAGUCAGAAUCAAGCAAAAAAGAAUAAGCUGUCAGAACUACGCAUGACCUGAUUCUCCUCUCUCGAGGGUGAGAUACAUAGGCUGCCUUACUCAGGGCUCGGUCCAACCAAAUAACAAUUUAGAAUUUCCAGUCAAAAGAAACUGGGGCAUGAGUUAAUCCUCAUUGUUUGAGUCGAUUUCAAAAGUUAUAAGUCCCACCUCACUACAAGUGUCGUUUUGGGCAUCAUGUCAUCCUUUCUUUCUAACCUUGUCCAAAAGUCAAGUUACAACCAAAGAAAGACCUUCAGAUCAAUCUUUGAGAAUGUUAAGGCUAAGCAUGCAAAGGAUAUGAUGAUGCAUUUGGGAAUUACUUGUCUUCCUCAGCAUAAGAAAUGAAGAGAGAAAUAAAAAGGAGAGAGUCUUAUUGGUGAAAAUCCUCACGGGCACCAUAAGGCGAUGCUAAGUUGAGAGAAAUAAAAAUGAGAGAGUCUUAUUGGUGAAAACCCUCAUGAACACCGUAAAAUGACUGUGAGUUAAUGGAAAUGAAGAUAAGAGAGUCUCAUUAGUGGAAAACCCUUACAGACACCAUAAGGUAAUGGUGAGCUGAGGAAAAGAAAAUGAGAGAAGCUUGUUGGCGAAAAUCCUUCAAGGCUCCACUAGCCGAAUGGGGUCUUAAAUGCAGUUGACCUAAGGAAGCAACUCAGUUUCAAGGCCAUUAACUCAACAACAAUAGGUAGAAAAUUUGGACGAAAAGAUCAAGCUGCUUAAUUCAAAAUGCAUGGUAUAAUCAUUAGUGUUGAGUGUCAUUUUUAGAUGAAUUUUUUGUUUCUUUGUUUCAAAAGGGAACAUUUAUUGUCUUUUCUUUCUUCUCUUUAUUUUUAUUUUAUCUUUCUUGAGUCAGUUAUCCAAACAAAAAUUUUAAUUCUUUUUUUCGUUUCUUGUCUUUGAGUCAAGUCCGUGUCAAAACAAGUGAGAAAAGAUUUAAAAAAUGGCUACCAGCUUUUUUAAUUGCACAAAGCAAGACAAAAGAUAGAACAUGAAAGAGACAUGAUUAUGAGCAAAAAAAUGGCAUGCAGAAAGUUUUGUCAAACAGAGAAGUCAGGAAACUCAUGGAAAUAUCAAGGUUCAAAGGAUCUAUUUGAGAAGCAUGGCAAAGUAGAGAUACUGUGUUUGUUUUAGUCACUCUUAAUAAUCUAAGCUCGGGUCAAUGAUUCAGCAAGUCAAUGAUAUAUGCUAAUGGUUAGAAGCAAGGUUAAAUGUGAGGAGGGCAAGAGUGAUCGUCGCGAAAGCUAAAACCACAAACCGGCUACCAUGUUUUAAACUCACAAGUUUUCUUUGAUGAAACAGGAAACAUAUUACCUUCAAAGCAGGGACUUCAGAGCAUAAACAUCAAUGGUUGCAAUGCUUCACUUUUACAAAUGCAAAAAACAAUAUUACUGCACAGGUUUGAUAUAAAAUCAUGGUAAAAAUUCAUCAUCCUAUAUCCCUCGAAGAAACACUUUCUUGUCUAGGAAUUUCAGUUUUCAUUUGCUAGGUGAUACACUUCUUAAAUUGAACCUUCACUCCUAGAAGACGUAUCUUUUAGUCGAGUCAUUCCCAUUGAUUCCUAUAAGACGUACCUUUUAGUCGAGUCAUAUCCCUUUGAUUCCUAUAAGAUGUACCUUUUAGUCGAGUUAUCCCAUUGAUUCCUAUAAGACGUACCUUUUAGUCGAAGUCAUUCCUAUUGAUUUCUAUAAGACGUACCUUUUAGUUGAGUCAUUCCCAUUGAUUCCUAUAAGACUUACCUUUUAGUCGAGUCAUCCCCUUUGAUUCCUAUAAGACGUACCUUUUAGUCGAGUCAUCCCCUUUGAUUCCUAUAAGAUGUACCUUUUAGUUGAGUCAUUCCCAUUGAUUCCUAUAAGACGUACCUUUUAGUCGAGUCAUCCCCUUUGAUUCCUAUAAGAUGUACCUUUUAGUUGAGUCAUUCCCAUUGAUUCCUAUAAGACGUACCUUUUAGUCGAAUCAUCUCUCUUUGAUUCCUAUAAGACGUACCUUUUAAUCGAGUUAUUCUCCUUAAUUCCUAUAAUAAUGUGACUUUCACAAAAGCCCUUUGAUGAUAAACUGGGGCAAAAUUUAAUUCUUAUGUUUGGAACUUCACUUUUCAAAAAAUGAAAUCCUUCUUUAUCAUAAUAUUUGUUCAGGACCCUUAUGAAAAAUGAAAUUUUACUUUAUGUUCAGGACCCUCCUGAAAAAUAGGAUUCCACUUUCUGUUUAGGACCUUCCUGAAAAAUGGGAAUUUACUUUCUGUUCAGGACCCUCAUGAAAAAUGGGAUUUUACUUUAUGUUCAGGACCCUCUUGAAAAAUGGGAUUUCACUUUAUGUUCAGGACCCUCCUGAAAAAUGAGAUUUCACUUUAUGUCCAGGACCUUCCUGAAAAAUGGGAUUUUACUUUCUGUUCAGGACCCUCCUGAAAAAUGGGAUUUUACUUUCAAUUCAGGACCCUCCUAAAAAAUGGGACUUUACUUUCUGUUCAGGACCCUCCUGAAAAAUGAUAUUUUACUUUCUGUUCUGGACCCUCUUGAAAAAUGGGAUUUUACUUUUUGGAAAAUGAAUUCUUUCUUUAUCAUAAAAUUUGUUUAGAUAUUUUCGUUCUAGUUUUGAUUUUGAUUUCAGAAGCCCGCCUGAAGAACCAGGGUGAUGAAAUUGCAAGUCAGGAGUCCGCCUGAAGAACAGGGUGAGGAAGAUGAAAGCCAAGCAACAAGGUAAAGAAAUUAAAAGUCGAAAAAUAGCAAGUCAGGAGCCCGCCCAAAGCAUAGGGUGAAUAAAUGAAAAGUCAAUCAACAAGGUGAAGAAGCUAAAAGUUAAACAACAAGGUGAAGAAAUUGAAAGUCAACAAAUGGAAAAAUAACAAGUCAGGAGCCCACCUGAAGAACAGGGUGAUGAAAUGGGAAAUUGAAGAAACUGCAAGUCAGGAACCCGCAUGAAGAAUAGGGUGAUGAAAUUGAAGUACAAAAAAUGGCAAGUCAGAAGCCCACCUGAAGAGCAAGGCGAAUAAAUGAAAGUCGAGCAAUGAAGUGAAGCAAUGGAAAACCAAGCAACAAGUUGAAGAAAUUGCAAGUCAGGGGCCCGCCUGAAAAAUAGUGUGAUGAAGUAGCGAGUCAAGCGUCAAGGAAAGCUGCAUAGAUAGGAAUUUUGUAAUUUCAUUUAUAUUUUAACUUGUAAUUUUCAUUUUAAGGUAAUGACAGAGCCGCGGACCGGAACCUCGAUGGAACCUCAUUCGACUCUCCAACUUGAUUUAGUCCAUCUCCGUCCAAUCCUUUGAGAUAUCGAUCACUUGAUUCCCUCAUAACUUGGGUGGGUAGAAUGUCCAUCAAGACUAGGUUGCCCUUCUUCCUUCUGUUUCCUUCCUCGAAUAAUGAUCAGGAAAAAAUUCUGUUUCGUUGUCUACUUAUUUGAAUGAAAACACUUGGUGUUUACAUUCAAAGGAGGCAUGAUGAAGACACGUAAUUUUAUCCCGUUAAUAAUAUUUCUUACUCCAAUAUCACAUAAUUUAACCCCUUUUUUAUAAUUUUUUCCCAAGAAAAUAAAUAACCACCUCAUCUUUUAAUUAUUUAUGUAUUUAUUUUUUUGUUUUGUUUUAUUCAAAUAACAAGUCAUAACAAACUUUGUCUCAUUCUAAUAUUCCAACAAUCCACCCAAUAAAAAAUGGACACCUAACCCCUAGUCCUCCCAUUAAAAAAAAAAUCAACACCACCACCCCUAACCUCACCUACCCUACCCUACCCAUCACGUGACCCCUCCCCCUACCUACUUUCUUUACACGUUUAUUCCAAUUCUAUAUAUACAAAGGAGCAAAGGAAAAGCAAAGAAUGGAAACGCGGAGCCCACAUAAUUAUUCCAUUAGUUUUCCUUCUUGGAUUGUCAAUACAUACACCUAUAUGCAUAUGAAAAAUGAACCUGGACAGAAGGACAAAAAACAAGGGGGGCCCAUUAGGAACUUUCCAGGAAAUACUCCAUUCACACAGUACACAGAUAUCAUAUGUAUACACCAUUGUUUCUUUUCCUUCGGGGGAGACCUGGAGACACCAUCCUCUUCACUCAAAAUAUCGGCACACACAUACGCCCAAUCGCACACACACACACGCAAUCCUCGCCCUUCACAGCUCACUCAAAAUCGCACACUAAUCCGCACAUACCCAAAAAAAUGAAGCCGAUUGAGAGAGAGGGUGACGAAUAGAGAGAAAUAUAGUUAUUUUGGUUUCGGGUUUGUUGCCGGAUUUCGACAUUUUCCGUUAGCUUAUUCCCUUCACAGCUCACCGGAGCUUAGAUUUGGACUGAUUUUGAGCUCUCAGUUAGACUUCGGAGAUGUUAGUUCUCGUUUGCUCGUCAUUCGUCUUCCGAUAUCGUGCAUUUGAAGGUUUUUCAUACCGGGCCGGUCUGUUUUUCUGUUGCUAUUUUGUUGUGGUUUCAUCGGUCUUCGCUACUGAUUUGAAGAUUAGAAUCUCGUUCAUCUCGAAUCGUUAAUCGCGAUCAGUUUUUUGGUCUUCAAUCUUCGAUACCGAAUCUGGGAUUAUCGCAUUUUGGAUUAUUUCUCGACUGAUUUGGAGAGUCGAGAUUUCGUUGGUAUUCUUCGAGGUUCUUGAAUGGGCUCUUAUUUCUCUUAUUAAAUCAAUCGAAAGCUCCCGAGGUCCAAUUCUAACUUUUCUCUUUUUGAUUUUCUCGUAAUUACGAAUGAUUUGUAUGCUUAAAUGUUUGAAUCCUUGUUUGGGUAUGUGUUCAAUAUUGAUUUCGGAUUUGAAGAAAUAACUUGAUUGUCAAAUUAGUUGUUUGGGGUCUAGAUUGAAAAUUAAUAAUCGAAUAAGUCGAAGGUUGUUUAUUUUGAUUCAUUAUUGAAUAUUGUUGAAUUGGAUAGCAUCAUGAUUAGGCCAUCUAAUGAAUAGGUUAAAGUAAGUUCGGGUAGGCAAAUAUUUAGGAAUAAGUGUUUGCUCGUUGAAUUAUUGAAUGCUUGAAAUGCGUGUUGAAUGGUUUGGUUUUAUUGCUUUUGGAUUGAAUGUAUCAUUUAGCCGGGGAAUGCCCCGAGACACAUUGUAUUUAUUCACCGGGGAAUGCCUCGACGUACUAUGUUGGCGGAAGACGUUCGUGAUGAAGGCCCGAGGCAUCGGGUAACUUGGGAGCGUAGUUAGGAUUAGUAUAGGUUAGAUAGGAUUUAUUUUUCGCAUUUUAUUUAUUUUGGGUAUGUAUAAUCGGACUGAACACUAUACUUUGAUUCAUUUUGUUUGUUUGCUUUACGUGCUUCCUUGUGAUUUGUACAUUCGUAGUGUCAAAAUUAGCCGAUACGCUCCACCAAGCGACCGUGGUCAAACCACGGGAUCGAGAGGUGUCUAACACCUUCCCCUCGGUCAACAAAAUUCCUUAGUCGGAAUCUCUGUUCGCGGAUCAGUUCUAUAGAGUCAAAAUCGUUUUGAAAAGGGAUAUCCAUGGGUGACUUGGCACACCCGAUUUAUGCCAAGUGACGACUUUGAGUUUAGAAUAUAAAAGGUCCUUUUCGAAAUAAAUUUUCAUCUUUUGUCACUUUGAUAAUAAAACUCUUUUGAACAUAAAAUGAAUCUUUUCCAGAGUUGAAAAAAAAAAGUGUGACAGACAUGUACAAGCAAGCUGCGGAUGAAUUAAUAUCAGGGGUAAACCCUAUCACACCCCUUUUUUCAACUCCCAAAAAAAAAUUCAUUUAAGGUUUGAAAGAGUUUUUAUUAUUAGGUGACAAAAGAUGAACAUUUGUUUCGAAAAUGGAUUAUUUACAUUUCUGUUCUGAGUCACCACUUGACAUAACCCGGUGUGCCAAGUCACCUUUGGAAAAUCUUUUUCAAAACGAUUUGACUCUUCAAACUGGUUUGCGAACAGAGAUUUCGGCUAAGAAAUUCUAUUGACCGAGGAAAAGGUGUUAGGCACCCCUCGAUCCCGUGGUUCGACCACGGUCGCUUGGUGGAGCAUAACGGCUAAUUUGACACUACAAAAUGUAUAAAACACACGAAAAAAGCAAAUAAACAAAUCAAACAAAAUUCAAAAUCAAAAUAAUAUCCAUUCCGAAUUAUACAAUCCCAAGGAUAGAAGAAUACAAAAAUAUAAAUCCUAUACUAGACUAAUCCUAAACUAUGCCUCGGGCCUUCAUCAAAACGUCUUCCGCCAACAUAAUACAUCGGGGCAUUCCCUGGUGAAUAAAUACAAUGUGUCUCGGGGCAUUUCCCGGCUCCAAAUGCGAGAAAGACAAACCAUUUCUCAAACAUUCAACGCAUUCAAUCAACACACCACUCCUAAAUUUUGCCUACCCGAACCUAAACAUUUUGCCUAUCCAAUGCGAACUAUCAUGAUACUAUAGAAUUCACAAACUUGAUUCCGAAUUAAGCAAAAUAACAACGAACCAACAUUAAACCAAAUUUACCCUUUUUAUCAAUCUCGCAAUUCCACCCUAAAUUCUCUUCUCAACACUAAAUUUCCACAAUUCACGAUUUCUAUUUCAACAAUCCACAAUCACUUUUCAAUGAAAAUUAAGCAACGAGUUAAUAUCAAAGUAGCAAUUCAUAACCAAUCAAGAUCAAACAACACACGAGAUUCCAUCCAAUGCACCAUAUUCCAUCAAUAAUGAAAUAAAAAGAGGAAAGGAGUAGAAAUGGACCUCAAUGAUGAUUUUAUUUCGAAUAUCAGUCAAUCGAGAAGACGACUCUGUGUGAUGAAGAACCUCGAGUCUGCCUCAAAAAAUACCACAACUCGACUACGAACCAACUCCAAUACGACAAUCUUCAAAACCCGAUCCCAAAACAAAACCCACGAAGGCCAGUGAGCCACUUAUCCACUGAGGUGACUUAGCCUAGUAGGGAGAGGGGUGACUUCUCAAUUACUCAGCCUGACAACUUAGCCACUGGUUUGUAUAUCAACAUGACUAGAGCUUCCCUCACUGUCAAUGUUCUGCACCAUAAUUGAUUCAUCUAGAAUCAUCUUUUCAAUUUCUCUUUUCAAAUCUCAACAAUCUUCAAUACUAUGACCCUGAGCAUCAUAAUGAUACGCACAUCGUACAUUAGGAUCAAAAUUUCUUGAACGCUAAUUAAGAGUGCACCCAAGGAGAGGAGUGAUCAUACCCUAUUGUACUAAUCUCUGAAAUAAACUUCCAUACGACUCUUCAAUUGGUAUGAAGCUAUCUCUCGACUUCUUCCUUAUUUCAUCAUUUGGCUUGGAUAAAUUAGGCUUAGGAGGGUUUUGGUAUGUUUACGGAGUUAGAGAAUGACUCUGAGGAGUUGGUGUGUUCCACUGUGGGUAAUAUGGGGGUUGAACAUGUGGUUAUGCGUUAUAUACUGGAUAUAGAGGUGGAGGAGUAGAGUAUAAUAGAUUUUGGGAAUGAUUAUGUGGAGUUUGGACAUGAACUUGGGUUUGAGCCUGAGAGUGACGACAAUGGGGUCUUCUUGACCGUGCCCGCUGUCCGACUACAAUAGAGGAUGGAACUUCCUUAUUCUUUGUCUCCCCAAUACUUCCUGAACCCUUUUGAAUUGCUUGAGUUGUCGCUUUCAAUGUUGCAAAACUCACAAUGCGACCCGUCUUAAUUCCCUCUUCUAUAAUCUCCCCCAUUUUAAGGACAUCAAUAAAUGACUUGCCCAAUGCAGGUAACAAGUGUUGAUAAUAUGUUCCAUUCUACGCUUGAAUAAACUCCUCUACUAUUUUUCUUUCUUUCAUUGGCGGUUUUACUCUAGCAGCUUGUUCACACCAUCUGAUCGCAUAUUUCCUGAAACUCUCAGUAUUCUUCUUUUUUAUACUAUUUAGGGAUUUUUCGUCAGGAAUCAACUCCACAUUGUAUUAAAAUUGUUGCACAAAUUCAUUAUCUAGGUCAUCCAAACUAAACCACUUGUCAAUGUCUUGGUCAACAAACCAUUCCAAAGCUAGUCCUGAAAGAUUCUCCCCGAAAUAAGCCAUGAGUAGUUCUUCCUUCCCCCAGCACCCCUUAGUUGGUAGCAAUAACGUAUCAAGUGUGCAAUAGGAUCACCAUGUCCAUCAUACUUCUCAAACUUCGGCAUGUUAAAGCCAAAAGGAAGAUGAACCCAAGAAAACAUGCACAGAUCAACAAACAUUCAACGCAUUUAAUCAACACACCACUCCUAAAUUUUGCCUACCCGAACCGAAACAUUUUGCCUAUCCAAUGCGACCUACCAUGAUACUAUAGAAUUCACAAACUUGAUUCCGAAUUAAGUAAAACAACAACAAACCAACAUUAAACCAUAUUUACCCUUUUUAUCAAUCUCGCAAUUCCACCCCAAAUUCUCUUCUCAACACUAAAUUUUCACAAUUCACAAUUUCUAUUUAAACAAUUCACAAUCACUUAUCAACGAAAAUUAAGAAACAAGUCAAUAUCAAAGUAGCAAUUCAUCACCAAUCAAGAUCAAACAACACACGAGAUUCCAUCCAAUGCACCAUAUUCCAUCAAUAAUGAAAUAAAAAGAGGAAAGAAGUAGAAAUGAACCUCAAUGAUGAUUUUAUUUCAAAUAUCAAUCAAUCGAGAAGACGACUCCGUGUGACGAAGAACCCCAAAUCAGCCUCGAAGAAUACCACAACUCGACUACGAACCAACUCCAACACGACAAUCUUCAAAACCCGAUCCCAAAAAAAAACCCACAAAGGCCAGUGAGCAAAUCUCAGCUUGGUAUCGAGAAAACUGUGACCUAAGACAGAGCACGAUGAACCCACCGAGAUAAACAAAACCCAAAUCCAAAUACAACACCAGCGUUAAAUUGUUUAGAAUCGAUUUAAAAAAGAAAUGUUGAUGGUGCUAUUACUGUUCACUUCUUUCCGAUGGUAUCGCCUGAAACAAAAAGAAACGACAAGGUAUGUUGGGUUUUCGGCACAGGGCAAGUUAACUCGAACGGGCCGGGAAAACUUGAGAAUCCCUUUCUCUCUGGUUUUCUCACUCUCUGACCAGUUCUCUCUGUCAAUCUCCUCGUUUUCUCAAUUUCUCUCUCAAUCGAUCUCUCCCACUCCUAUCUUUAUUCUCUCCGGUCACCUCACUCCUCGAUUUCCCUAUAUCAGUGUAUGUGUCCCCAGAUAUCGUGAGGUUGGUGAGUGUAUCCGUGAGCCAGAAGAAAUGAAAGAUAAUGUUGGUGUUUUCCUUUUUUCGUGAGUGGAAGAAUGAAGUGUCUUGUUGUGAUGGUAUAAGGUGGAGAAGAUGAUGUUUAUGGUGUCCCCUUAGUGGUGGGGCCCGUAUGUGUGUAUAUAUCCCUCAUGGUGUGAGAGAUUUUUCUUUUUCUCCAAGCUAACACCGUGUAAAAUAAUAUAAAAGGAGGAGGUAUGGUCACGUGGGAGAGGGUAGGGGUGGUGAUGAUAAGAUUUGUUAGGAUAAAGUUUUUUACGAUAAGGUUAGGGAUUUAAUUUGUUAGAGAUUUUGUUAAGGGUUGUUAUUUUUUGUAUUUUUGUGGGAUAUAAUCAUACGGAUGAG